GAUGAACGCUGGCGGCGUGCCUAAUACAUGCAAGUCGAGCGAACGGACGAGAAGCUUGCUUCUCUGAUGUUAGCGGCGGACGGGUGAGUAACACGUGGAUAACCUACCUAUAAGACUGGGAUAACUUCGGGAAACCGGAGCUAAUACCGGAUGAUAUUUUGAACCGCAUGGUUCAAAAGUGAAAGACGGUCUUGCUGUCACUUAUAGAUGGAUCCGCGCUGCAUUAGCUAGUUGGUAGGGUAACGGCUUACCAAGGCAACGAUGCAUAGCCGACCUGAGAGGGUGAUCAGCCACACUGGAACUGAGACACGGUCCAGACUCCUACGGGAGGCAGCAGUAGGGAAUCUUCCGCAAUGGGCGAAAGCCUGACGGAGCAACGCCGCGUGAGUGAUGAAGGUCUUCGGAUCGUAAAACUCUGUUAUUAGGGAAGAACAUAUGUGUAAGUAACUGUGCACAUCUUGACGGUACCUAAUCAGAAAGCCACGGCUAACUACGUG
rnacentral:rRNA from 1 species